UACGUAGGGGGCAAGCGUUAUCCGGAAUUACUGGGUAUAAAGGGAGCGUAGACGGUAAUGUAAGUCUGGAGUGAAAGGCGGGGGCCCAACCCCCGGACUGCUCUGGAAACUAUGUUACUAGAGUGCAGGAGAGGUAAGCGGAAUUCCUAGUGUAGCGGUGAAAUGCGUAGAUAUUAGGAGGAACACCGGUGGCGAAAGCGGCUCUCUGGCCUGUAACUGACACUGAGGCUCGAAAGCGUGGGGAGCAAACAGG
rnacentral:rRNA from 1 species